GGUCGGGCUCCUGGGUGGGCAAGCAACAUCUAUCAGUAUACUCAUCUGUCAGAAGCCCCCAAGGGCAAAGGUAUCUUUGGUAAAGUCAUGAAGAUGGAUUCUCGCUCUGUCACCCAAGCUGUAAUACAGUGGCACAAUCACGGCUCAUUGCAUCCUCCGCCUCUUGGGUUCAAGCAAUUCUCUACCUCAGCCUCCCGAGUAGCUGGGAUGACAAGCACCCACCACCAUGACUGGCUAAUUUUUGUAUUUAUUUAUUUAUUUUUUUUGUAGAAAUGGGGUUUCACCAUCUUGGCCAGGCUGGUCUUGAAGUCCUGACCUCAUGAUCCCCCCGCCUCGGCCUCCCAAAGUGCUGGGAUUACAGGCGUGAGCCACCACACCUGGCCUGUUUUAUGUAAAUUCUUCCUACCUUAUUGAGGAUUUAUAUUUGUGUGUGGGGAGGGUUGCAUGCUAAGCCUGCUCUCUAAUGAAGAAGCCAUGUUCCGAUUCAAGAUUUUAAAAAAUAGGUCAUACAUGCAUAAUAUUUUAAAGAUAUAAGUAUGUCUUGGAAAAUUUUUCUUGUAGUCAUCCAGUUCCUACUUCUCUACAUCCUGGAGGAAUAGCACUUAUUAACAGUAUAUUUUCUAAAGAUACUUAAAUCUCUAAUUUCUGUAUCUCCUAGGUAUAAUUCUGUGUGUAUCUUCUAGAGAUAAUCUAUCUAAU
rnacentral:lncRNA from 1 species